rnacentral:misc_RNA from 1 species
CAAACCCGCUCAUGUAUAUCAUGGUCUUGAUGGAAGUGAAUUGAGACUACUACUCAAGUGUCUUGGUCACUCCGUUGAAAUGCAUAGGCAAGACAGCAAACCUAAAAUAUGGACUUAGUAACUGUUAUGAAAACAUAAACCAGUCCUUGCUAGGUUUGGGCCUGGCCUCUAUGGACCUCCAUCCAAGAUGAAAUCUG